AACGCUGGCGGCGUGCCUAACACAUGCAAGUCGAGCGAUUUACUUCGGUAAAGAGCGGCGGACGGGUGAGUAACGCGUGGGUAACCUGCCCUGUACACACGGAUAACAUACCGAAAGGUAUGCUAAUACGGGAUAAUAUAAGAGAGUCGCAUGGCUUUCUUAUCAAAGCUUUUGUGGUACAGGAUGGACCCGCGUCUGAUUAGCUAGUUGGUAAGGUAACGGCUUACCAAGGCGACGAUCAGUAGCCGACCUGAGAGGGUGAUCGGCCACAUUGGAACUGAGACACGGUCCAAACUCCUACGGGAGGCAGCAGUGGGGAAUAUUGCACAAUGGGCGAAAGCCUGAUGCAGCAGCGCCGCGUGAGCGAUGAAGGCCUUCGGGUCGUAAAGCUCUGUUCUCAAGGAAGAUAAUGACGGUACUUGAGGAGGAAGCCCCGGCUAACUACGUGCCAGCAGCCGCGGUAAUACGUAGGGGGCUAGCGUUAUCCGGAAUUACUGGGCGUAAAGGGUGCGUAGGCGGUCUUUCAAGUCAGAAGUGAAAGGCUACGGCUCAACCGUAGUAAGCUUUUGAAACUGUAAGACUUGAGUGCAGGAGAGGAGAGUGGAAUUCCUAGUGUAGCGGUGAAAUGCGUAGAUAUUAGGAGGAACACCAGUUGCGAAGGCGGCUCUCUGGACUGUAACUGACGCUGAGGCACGAAAGCGUGGGGAGCAAACAGGAUUAGAUACCCUGGUAGUCCACGCCGUAAACGAUGAGUACUAGCUGUCGGAGGUUACCCCCUUCGGUGGCGCAGCUAACGCAUUAAGUACUCCGCUUGGGGAGUACGCUCGCAAGAGUGAAACUCAAAGGAAUUGACGGGGACCCGCACAAGUAGCGGAGCAUGUGGUUUAAUUCGAAGCAACGCGAAGAACCUUACCUAAGCUUGACAUCCUUUUGACCUCUCCCUAAUCGGAGAUUUCCCUUCGGGGACAAAAGUGACAGGUGGUGCAUGGUUGUCGUCAGCUCGUGUCGUGAGAUGUUGGGUUAAGUCCCGCAACGAGCGCAACCCUUGCCUUUAGUUGCCAGCAUUAAGUUGGGCACUCUAGAGGGACUGCCAGGGAUAACCUGGAGGAAGGUGGGGAUGACGUCAAAUCAUCAUGCCCCUUAUGCUUAGGGCUACACACGUGCUACAAUGGGUGGUACAGAGGGCAGCCAAGUCGUGAGGCGGAGCUAAUCCCUUAAAGCCAUUCUCAGUUCGGAUUGUAGGCUGAAACUCGCCUACAUGAAGCUGGAGUUACUAGUAAUCGCAGAUCAGAAUGCUGCGGUGAAUGCGUUCCCGGGUCUUGUACACACCGCCCGUCACACCACGGAAGUUGGGGGCGCCCGAAGCCACUUAGCUAACCCUUUCGGGAAGCGAGUGUCGAAGGUGAAAUCAAUAACUGGGGUGAAGUCGUAA
rnacentral:rRNA from 1 species